UCGACCUGAGGUCAGGCAAGAACACCCGCUGAACUUAAGCAUAUCAAUAAGCGG
rnacentral:rRNA from 1 species